GGCCAGACUCCUACGGGAGGCAGCAGUGAGGAAUAUUGGUCAAUGGGCUUACGCCUGAACCAGCCAAGUCGCGUGAGGGAAGACUGCCCUAUGGGUUGUAAACCUCUUUUGUCAGGGAGCAACGCCGGCUACGUGUAGUCGGACUGAGAGUACCUGAAGAAAAAGCAUCGGCUAACUCCGUGCCAGCAGCCGCGGUAAUACGGAGGAUGCGAGCGUUAUCCGGAUUUAUUGGGUUUAAAGGGUGCGUAGGCGGGCUUUUAAGUCAGCGGUAAAAAUUCGGGGCUCAACCCCGUCCGGCCGUUGAAACUGGGGGCCUUGAGUUGGCGAGAAGUACGCGGAAUGCGCGGUGUAGCGGUGAAAUGCAUAGAUAUCGCGCAGAACUCCGAUUGCGAAGGCAGCGUACCGGCGCCAGACUGACGCUGAGGCACGAAAGCGUGGGGAUCGAACAGGAUUAGAUACCCGAGUAU
rnacentral:rRNA from 1 species